CCCGACUGCAAAGGAGCUUUUGAAGGAUAAGUUAUUCUCUAACCUCCAAGAGGAAGUUCUCCAGGAAGUGUUGUUCGAUAUUGAGCAGCUUCAGAGAAAAGCAGUGCGGUCUCAGGAAAAUGAGGAUAUGGCCUUUUCGCCAACCACCUUUGAUGACAAUGCUGCUGGUGUUGAAGAAACAAUUCAUGCGCUCCCUCUGUGAUCUGGAUGACGACAGAAAAAAUGAAAGCACAUGCAGAUUUUAAUCUUCACUUAUAUUUUGAUCGUUACUCAGUUAAUUGCAACGAUUACAUAUUUGAUUCACUGUCGUACUGAUUAUUUAGUAGAUUAUUCACCCGCGAGCAAAUCGCACUAAAAUAUAAUUCAUAGAAUUAGAGAUUGUAGAUGAAUGUUUUCAAUUCAUAACCAGCUUAGCAGCAAAAUGAUUUUUCACCCUACAGAUUACUCAAUAUGCAUGGAUCAGCUACAUUCCUUUUUUGUAUAACAAAUUCGCACCAUACAAAACCAAUAGGUUUCGUUAAUGAAACAAAGAACUCCUUAGUAUAUAAAGAAAUCUAUAUAGGAAACUUGUAGAGAACUAGCAGUUUAGUACUUGCAGUCAAGCUGUAUAAUACAUUCGUAGAAAUUUGUAGUAAAACUAUACAUAUACGUUAAUUUUAUAAUUUACGUAAUAUGCAUAUAUCCUCUCAGGAGAAUCAUCUGGUACUUUUCAUGCACAAUAAUUUACUUGUAUAAUUA